ensembl:lncRNA
GGGAAGAAGACUAAAUGGAUCCCACCUUCAUAAAACUCCUAAUGCAGUGCAGGUGAUGGACGGCAAAGCCAUGAACAGAAAAAUCAAUCACAGUUGUGACAGAUGCUGUGAAAGAGAAGUACAGGUGCUUGGAGAAGUUCGAAUGGGGCACUUGGCCUAGUCUAUGGGUUGAAGAAAAUUCCCUCAAGGAUGUGACAUAUGACGUGAGACCUCAAGGGGCAUAUUUAUUCCAGAGGUAUCCCCAAGUUAACCUGAUUCCUCAAGGAAAUCGAUGCAUUCAACCCAGGGAACAAUAGACUCUUCUUAACGCGUGUUUUCCAAGGCAUGCAGGAACGAGAUCAUCUGAUCCCACCACUAACACAACCAGAAAUGGGAGAGUGAACAUGCAUUCUGGACAGCGAGGACGACAUCACAGAGACGCUGCACGGCAUUUUGCUGACAAGGAGUCAGUCUGACAAGACACGUUGUCGAUCCCCUCAAGGAUCAAAUGGCAGAAGUCCUAGAUCAAAGGGCAAGAAAUGAAAUGAGCACUGGAGACAAGGGCAUAAAACAAGUGUACUGGCUGUGUGACUGGUGUCCCAAAUCACUCAAGAGUCUGAUUUCCUCCACUUGGCAGUUUGUGUCUCGGUCUAUGCUUAACAUCACUCAGAAAAUUCAGUAAAGCUGUCCAAUGUAAUGGCAACACCAGUCACUGCAGAAGGUAGAGCUAUCAUUUGGAGUAAGUAUUUAUUUACGAAUCAAUAAUAUCUCAAUGUGAGAUCUGCAGAGUAUAUGAAACUAAGAAGUUGCUUGAAAAUCAAAUAAAAUCAGAAUUCUAGAUCAUUCUACUUCUGGGUUCUAAUGCGAUCCCAUUCAGUUAAGCCUGCAGUCUACUCCUGGCUCAAUGUGCAACUUUCCUUUUGGGGACCUCCCCUUGGACUGCC